rnacentral:rRNA from 1 species
GAUGAACGCUGGCGGCGUGCCUAAUACAUGCAAGUCGAGCGGACGGACGAGAAGCUUGCUUCUGUGAUGUUAGCGGCGGACGGGUGAGGAACACGUGGAUAACCUACCUAUAAGACUGGGAUAACUUCGGGAAACCGGAGCUAAUGCCGAAUGAUAUUUUGAACCGCAGGGUGCAAAAGGGAAAGAAGGUCUUGCUGUCACUGAUAGAGGGAUCCGCGCUGCAUUAGCUAGUUGGUAAGGUAGCGGCUUACCAAGGCAACGAUGCAUAGCCGACCUGAGAGGGGGAUCGGCCACCCUGGAACUGAGACACGGUCCAGACUCCUACGGCAGGCCGCAGUAGGGAAUCUUCCGCAUUGGGCGAAAGCCUGACGGAGCAACGCCGCGUGAGUGAUGAAGGUCUUCGGAUCGUAAAACUCUGUUAUUAGGGAAGAACAUAUGUGUAAGUAACUGUGCACAUCUUGACGGUACCUAAUCAGAAAGCCACGGCUAACUACGUG